rnacentral:rRNA from 1 species
GUCUACAGCUAUACCACCUUGAGUGCAUCUGACCUCAGCAGCUAAGCAAGGUCUUGCCUGGUUAGUACAUGGAUGGGAAGACAAUGAGUUCAAUCUUAUCUCCUGUAUUUU